ACUGGAUUGUGCUUCUGUGUCAGACCUGUAGUUACCUGACCCUUUUUGUGGGGCUGGGGAGCCACCCAUUCUGGCUGAAAGUAAGGAGGUGAUGGAGGGCCUUUGAAACAGGACGUUCAAUGAAAUAAGAGGGCUGACUACCUCCACCCAAAAGUUUAGUUUGAAAUAGCUCCCACCACAAAGGCUGCCACACAUGGGGACUGAUGUCAUAAUAAAGAGGUUUAUUUAAAUCUGCAAGCAGCACUAUUUUCAGCAGCCUAAUAUGUCAUUGCCAUCAUAUAAACUCUCCUUUCUAAUAAAAAAAAAUGACAUUUCAGAACCAAAUAGCGCUAUACACGUGAAUAGUAAGAACUUAACUGAUUUAUGUGCAGAGUAAUGAAAGCGAGUUUUUUCAGAAAAGUGAAUUUGGAAUUGUGUCUCCUGUCUGACUGUGCUCUUUUAUCAUCCUCUAGUGCACCCACAAAUGAAUUAUCAGGCACGAACCUGGAGGCACGUAUCAAUGAAAGUCCCGAUCCGAAUGCCCUGGAGGGAGUCAUCAUUGAGAGAAGUCCCAGUGACAAGUGAGUUAUAAGAGAUGUACACAUGGCCAGGUGCAGUGAUUCGCACCUGUAAUCUGAGCACUUUGGGAGGCCGGGGCAGGCAGAUCCCCUGAGGGUAGGUGUUCGAGACCAGGCUGGCAAACGCGGUGAAACCCCGUCUCUACUAAAAGUAUAACAACUAGCCAGGUUCUGUGGCAGGUGCCUCUAAUCCCAGCUACUCGGGAGGCUAAGGUAAGAGAAUCGCUUGAACUGGGGAAGGUAGAGGUUGCAGUGAGCCGAGAGCAUGCCACUGCAUUCCAACC
rnacentral:lncRNA from 10 species